CCUACGGGUGGCAGCAGUGGGGAAUAUUGCACAAUGGGGGAAACCCUGAUGCAGCGACGCCGCGUGAGUGAAGAAGUAUUUCGGUACGUAAAGCUCUAUCAGCAGGGAAGAAAAUGACGGUACCUGACUAAGAAGCGCCGGCUAACUACGUGCCAGCAGCCGCGGUAAUUCGUAGGGGGCAAGCGUUAUCCGGAUUUACUGGGUGUAAAGGGAGCGUAGGCGGGAGUGCAAGUUUGGAGUGAAAUCCCAUGGCUUAACCAUGGAACUGCUUUGGAAACUGUGCAGCUAGAGUGCAGGAGAGGUAAGCGGAAUUCCUGGUGUAGCGGUGAAAUGCGUAGAUAUUAGGAGGAACACCAGUGGCGAAGGCGGCUUACUGGACUGUAACUGACGUUGAGGCUCGAAAGCGUGGGGAGCAAACAGGAUUAGAUACCCCUGUAGUC
rnacentral:rRNA from 1 species